AGCGAACGCUGGCGGCAGGCCUAACACAUGCAAGUCGAACGAACUCUUCGGAGUUAGUGGCGGACGGGUGAGUAACACGUGGGAACGUGCCUUUAGGUUCGGAAUAACUCAGGGAAACUUGAGCUAAUACCGAAUGUGUCCUUCGGGGGAAAGAUUUAUCGCCUUUAGAGCGGCCCGCGUCUGAUUAGCUUGUUGGUGAGGUAAUGGCUCACCAAGGCGACGAUCAGUAGCUGGUCUGAGAGGAUGACCAGCCACAUUGGGACUGAGACACGGCCCAAACUCCUACGGGAGGCAGCAGUGGGGAAUCUUGCGCAAUGGGCGAAAGCCUGACGCAGCCAUGCCGCGUGGAUGAUGAAGGUCUUAGGAUUGUAAAAUCCUUUCACCGGUGAAGAUAAUGACUGUAGCCGGAGAAGAAGCCCCGGCUAACUUCGUGCCAGCCGCCGCUGUAACAC
rnacentral:rRNA from 1 species